rnacentral:tRNA from 1 species
GUUUUUAUAGUUGAAUUACAACGGUGGUUUUUCAGGCCACAAGUUCUGGUUAAACUCCAGGUAGAAACU